rnacentral:rRNA from 1 species
UACAGAGGGUGCGAGCGUUAAUCGGAAUUACUGGGCGUAAAGCGUGCGCAGGCGGUUUUGUAAGUCUGUUGUGAAAUCCCCGGGCUCAACCUGGGAAUGGCAAUGGAGACUGCAAGGCUAGAGUUUGGCAGAGGGGGGUAGAGUUCCACGUGUAGCAGUGAAAUGCGUAGAUAUGUGGAGGAACACCGAUGGCGAAGGCAGCCCCCUGGGUCAAAACUGACGCUCAUGCACGAAAGCGUGGGGAGCAAACAGG